rnacentral:rRNA from 1 species
AUGACGUAGCAAUACAGAUGGUGGCGACCGGCGCACGGGUGAGUAACACGUAUGCAACCUACCUUCAACAGGAGAAUAACCCGUCGAAAGACGGACUAAUACUCCAUAACACAGGGAUCCCGCAUGGGAAUAUUUGUUAAAGAUUUAUCGGUUGAAGAUGGGCAUGCGCUCCAUUAGCUAGUUGGUGAGGUAACGGCUCACCAAGGCAACGAUGGAUAGGGGAACUGAGAGGUUUAUCCCCCACACUGGUACUGAGACACGGACCAGACUCC